CCAAUCAACCCCUAGAGUUGUUGCAGAUCCUAUUCUAUUCUCUCCCUUUGACUCGAGUUGAACCAAGUCCUUCAAGCGCUUCGAACAAACCUCUGAUUACCGCUACCUUAUUACAAGAAUUCCACGUUCUCCAAAACUUCAGCUCGGCUGAUUUUGAACGCAAAUCGCUUGAACCCUAAGCUUUCUUCACAAUCCUCCAGUUACCAUUACUUGUUUGACCGAACCUUCCGUUCUUAAAACUUUUCACUCGGUUGAAUCUGCGAAGCAAAGGUUAGUACAAAAACCCCCAAUUCUUGGAGGACAAAACCUCAAUGGUUUUAUUCAAGAAAAACCCACACAAAGUCUCAACCCAAACUAAGAUAAUCCAAUCUUAUUUGGACGUUAUCACAACAGCAAUGCACAAUGCUCAACAAAGAUUAUUAUGUGUGAUUAUUGAGAAAUGCAAUGAAGAAUGAAGAUGAAGAGCACUUUGGUGUAUAUAUUUCACUUUUCUUGUUCAAAUGUUGAAGAAGAGACUCUAGAAUAUUUAUAUGAUGCAUGGACCAACUAACAGACAUAACAAAAUUAUUUUGCAAAAUUACACAGCAAAAAAUUAAGUCAGGAUUGAGUCGACCUAUGACUCGACCUGUUCAGACCCGUGACUACAUGGUUCAAAUGAAAAUAGGCAUUGAGUCGAUGCAACAUGUGGAUGAGUCGACUCAUUCAGUUUUCCCAGGAUUAAGUCGACCUGUGGCUCGACCUGUUCAGACUCGAGAGUUACGCUUUGAGUCAUUGAGUCGACCUGCGACUCGGCCUGUUCAGACCCGAGAGUUAUGCUCCGAGUCAUGAGUCGACUCACAGGUCUUAAACUCCCAAAAAUGAGUUUUGAGAUGUAUUUUGACCAAUUUAAUCGAUCUCUUAUGAACCUAGGAUAUUUACUAUGAUCAAGUGCAUGAUUCACAUCUAUGAUAUUCUCCUAUAUGCCUGGACACAUUGAAUCAAUAUUUUUUAUAUGUUAGAGGAUGAAUGCAUUCUAUGAUAUGGUGAUAAUGUCCAAAGUACACAUUAUGGGCGAUUAGAAAGGUUUGACAUCAUUAAAAUAAGGACUAGUCAUAUUUUUCCUCACAGUUUGCACUUUGAAGCAUCAUUCAUAAAUGGCAAGGAUCAAGGAUCAAGAUUGAAUUUUGGAGAUUAGGGAUAGGAUUUAGGAUUUUAGGAUGCCAAGUGGUUGAGUUGACUUUGGUCAAAGUUGACCAAAAAGUCAACUAUUGACCAAAGUCAACAUUUGGUCAACAUGUCUCUUUUUGUAAUUUUUUAUGUAUGAUUAUGUAUAAUGGAAUUUGAGGUUCUUGAAUGAAAUUGACACUUGAACAUUAUAUGAACUUAGUGUUGAAUGAAUUGAUUAAUUUGAACAUGGACAUUGUACGAGCAUGACUUGAAAUAGAUUGGAAUGAAAGGUAUUGAAAUAGAUUGUACAUGACUUGGAUGAAUCAUAUUAGACUUUAACAAACUUGAAUAGACAAUUAUAAGCAUGAACCAAAGAUCCAUGGACCAAACACCAAACAUUAAAAAUGUCAUGAAAUGGACUAGAAUGAAAUUGACCAGAUGAAACCAAGCAAGGUAUGGACUAUGUACUUGAAAUGACCAGGUGAAAUGGACCUAAACAAGGCAUGAUCAAGCCAUGGGCUAGGCAUGAGGAUGAUUAGUGAAAUGCCAUGGAUGAAUGGAAGCAAAUGAAAGUUGUGGGGCCAUGUACUUGGGCUUGAUCCAAAUGGACACAAAUAAACACAAGAUGAACAUGUAAGGCCAUGGAUGAAUGAAAUAAAAAGCAAGGAAUCAACAUGAAUGAGCCGUGAGCAAGAGACCAUUGGAUGAAACUUUGACCAAGCAAGUGAGACACACACACAAUGUAUGGAGAAGAAUCAGAUGAAAUUAGGGUUACGAACUCACACAAUAAAUCCUAGACAUAAUUAGGAUUUAUGGAGCUAUGAUCAAGUGAGAAUCCCCCAAAUUAGGGUUUUGCUUCACUAAGAAGCCAGAGUGGAAUCAUCAAUGAUAAGAGCAUAUACAAGCCUCAAGAGCUACCUCAAAUUAGGGUUUGAUUGAUGGACACCCUCAAGUUGCUAGGAACCCUAGUUUCCACUAGGUACAAGCACAAAGCUUUGAAUCUAAGAUACAUGUUCUCUUGUAUUGAACCAUGGAUAUGCAGAUGAAAUGAAUGACUAUGAGGAUAUGUAGAUGAUUAAGGUUAAUGACCUAGAUGAUAGUAUGACAUUAAGGAAUGGAUUAUAACAGUUCUUUUAUGAAAAGAAAUAUUGUAGUAUCUGAACCAAGAACGGAAUUGUAAAGGUGGUGUUUGAACCAAGGACGGAAAAUAAAGGUGGUGUCUUAACCAAAGACAUGAACUAAAAGUGGUAUCUUAACCAAGGACAAAAAUUAAAAGUGGCGUCUUAACCAAGGACAUGAAUUAAAAGUGUUGUCUUAACCAAGGACAUGAAUUAAAAGUGGUGUCUUAACCAAGGACAAGAACUAAAAGUGGUGUUUAAACCAAGGAAGUGGUGUUUAAACCAAGAAAAUGAUGUUUAAACUAAGUGAGUGGUGUUUAAACCAAGGAAGUGGUAACCAAGGAAGUGAUGUUUAAACUAAUGAAGUGGUGUUUAAACCAAGGAAGUAAGAUUAUGGAAUUGAUAUUGGUUGUGAUUGAUUUUAGUUUGAAGACGAAUAUUCAGACAGGAAGGUCUACAACAGUGUCUGAAUCAUUUGGGGAGAGAGAGUCUACACUUUCCUCCUUUUUCUUUCUUUUAUUAUGAAAAUUUAUCUUGAUUUGAAUUGCACUAAAGUCUAUAAAUGGAGGUGAAUACUUUGAACAACUGGGUCAUGUGUCCCGUAUCCAAAGAUAUUUAGAAUGAGGAUAGGAAUACACCAUAUCAUCCUUCUCCACUUCUUAAGGCUCAUGACGCACAAUUCACAUCGUAUUUAUUAAGUAUUUUUUAGUUUAUUUGCAAAAUGAUAUUUUAGUCUUAUCGUGGCCUAAGGAAAGGAAUGAAUAUUGUAAAUGAGUAGAUGAAACAUCAAAAUAAUUACAAGUUAGCUUUUAUAACACCAAAAGAGAUUUUUGUAUUGACGAUUAAAUUCUAAGUGUAAACUCAUGGUUAAUUCUUAAUGUUCAAAUAUUUAAUCAAUUAAUCAAUCAAGAGACUUAAUUCGUAAAUUAAACAAAAUUAGAGGAAACCAAUCCACAUAACACUUAUCACUCAUUUUGGCCAAUCAAUUAGUGUCACGGGGAUAUGCUAUAUAAAAAUCAGCACUAAGUAACUAAUGUCAUGUGGUAAUUUAUAACUAAAUUAGAUAAUAAAAUAGAAAGUAAAAGAGCAAGAAUAAAAUGUAAUAAUAAUAAUAAAAUGCUAACAAAAACAUAUCAGUGUAAUUCAUAUCUAUUAUUUGUCAAGUUUCAAGCUGAUAUGUAGGCCAAUAUGAAUGUUCAAUUAUGAGGAAAAAAUUGUUAUAAUAAUGAGAAAUAUCAUCAAAGUUUGAUCUUAACAUGCAGUUGAAGCCUCAUCACAUGAGAGCCACAAAACAAGAGGCAAAUAUAGUAAAUAAGGUUACAAAUUCUUAGCAUGCAUAACCUCAUUCUAUUACAAAGUCUUACCCAUAAACAAUUAAAUUAGACCGUUUCUUUAGCCAAUAAUUCUGUUACUUAAACACAAAACCGCCACCUCUCACACUUUAUUUUCACUCUUAACAAAAAUUAUUGGCUUAUGUCAUUACUAAGAAAUGCAGUAACGUGAGAACCAUAACAUAAGCAGAUACAGAGUAACAUUGCAAACAUAGAGCAUAUCAGGAACUUUGAAAACAUGUUAUAUAGUAGAUAAAAUUAAAGAAUAAAACAACAAAAAUACUUGAAAGAAAGCGAUAAGACAGUAUGUGCAAACGCAGUUGAAGUGAGAACUUCAACGACGAAAACGCGGCAGCUUCUCGAAUAAGUUCCAAACGUGAUUUUUUUUAACGCGGUCUUCGAUUUGGCUCACAUAUUCGUUCAUCUCUCAAGCUCACUACAGCGACAACCACUGUUCAUGAAGAGAUUGGUUUACGGUGCAGCUUUUCUAUGUUUCGUUCAUAACUUGUUCGGUUUCGGAUUUGGAAUUUUGGUUCUGUUCAGUGUUUGCAUUCAAUUCAGAAUUUGUUUUUGCCUAAGAUAAGUCAUUAUUCUAAUAAACUAUUUCAUGCUCUUUGUUCAAACUCUGUACUAAUACAAUGUCUAAUUCAAUAUUAUGCUAAAGUAUGUUGAUUUUUAUACUAUUUGAAUUUGGUUUUCUUUGGAAACAAGUAUUUUUUUAAAUAAGCUGUUUUUUUGCAGUAUGUUAAAUUAAUCAAUAAGAAGCAUUCAAUAAUUCAUGGCAAUGAUAGGGGAGAAAAUAGAUGAAAAAUUGCCGAUGGACAAAAGAUUUGUUCCGGUUAAAGGUUAUUAACGGAGUGCUGAAGAGAAAGAGAAAUUUGUGAGAAAAAAAUGGUGAAAAAGUGUCUGUCCCUCCCAAAUUGUGAAAAAGAGCAUGUUUAUAUAUCUUGUGGUUGAAUGAGAAUAAGAGAUUUAUCAAUGAUUUGUAAAUUAAUUUAAGUUUUAAUUGUGGAUCAAUACUUCCAAUUUUUUGAUUGAUUUUUAUGAAUGAUUAUGAUUGAAUGGAGAUUUGGUUGAAAAUGAAAGUUGAAAUUUGUGUUUGUUUGAUAGUUAUGGUAGUUAAAAGUUAAUAGUGUAAUUAAAUGAUUGUGAAUGCAUAGAUAAUUAGAGACAAAUGAUUUUGGUUUUUGCAAAAGUAUCAAGUUGGAAUGUACUAGAAGGUCAUUGUUGAUUAUGCAUGAAAUUUGGAAUUUUUUAAUGCUUGACUUUUUUUUUGCUACUUUUGUCAUGAAUUUUUGGUGAAUUAUCCUCUGACUUUAAGUGCUUUUAAAAAGUAAUUUUGAGUUUAAAAAAAUGCACUUUUGAAUGGUGUAAAGUUAUGGAUCAAAUUCUGAUUUUUUUGUGCAUGAAUCAAUGUUGGAAAGUGUUGAAAAAACAAGUAUUGAAUUUAAUGAAUAGUGCAGAAUCUUAGUGAAGUAGUGCAGACUUUUUUUUAUGACUUUUCCAUUGCAUUUUGAUGAUUUUAAUCCAUGAUAUGAAUGUCUAACUUGGUGUACCUUCUUUCUUAUAGCAAAGUGAACAUUAUGGUGGAAGAAUGAGUUUGAGGGGACACCGAAGAAUGAAGAAAAAGCCAUGAGAAUGGAGUUUGAUGGUAGAUGAAAUCUUGAGUUGAUGGAAAUUAACAUUUGUAACAUAAUCAUUGAAUAAUUGAUUUUUGAUGAAUAAUGAUGAGUCAACUGGCCAAAUGUUUGUAGAAUAGGUCUAGGAAAAUUCAAUAAUCAAAAUCGAGUCAAUAGUCAACAGUUGAUAAAAAAGUCAACGGUUGACUAAAAGUCAACUAUACCAUUUUGUUGUUUUCUUCUCCUUGUAAUUGAUCUCCUUCCUUGUAAUAAAGUGUGUGAUGCCUAUAAUGUAUUUCAAUUACUCAUGAAUGAAGAUAUUUCAUUUCUUUCCAAAAAGUCAACAAAAGUCAAAGUAUGGUCAAAGAAAAAAUAAUAAGGAAAUAGUCAACAAUGAUUAAUGUUCAUAACGAUUCAAAGUCAAUAACAUUCAAUCAAUGAAGAAAAGUCAAUAAUAAUUAAAAGUCAAUGGUAAUGAUAAAGUCAACAAUUAUGAUAAAAGUCAACGUAUGGAAAAAGUCAACAAUAAUGAUAAAAGUCAACAUUGGGCAGAGCAUGGUUAACAAUAUUGAAAUGAUCAAAGUCAAUCAAUAGUCAAUUAUAAGUCACAAACAAACAAAAUAUAAAGAUUAGAUAAACUUUGAACUAUUAAGUAAAAUAAAAUGUAAGGUGGACCAGAUGAAAUGUUUUAUGGUGUAUCAGAUGAAUAUAGCAUGAGCAAAAAAAGAAGAAAAAAAAGAAAAUAGAAAAAGAGUGGGGCAAAAUUGGGGUACGACACUCUGCAUCAGACUUAGAAUAUAUCAAAAUAUCAUCGAUGAACACAACCACAAACUGAUCUAGAUAAGGAUGGAAAAUCCUAUUCGUAUAUUCCAUAAACACUUCAUGCGCAUUAGACACACCAAACGGCACCAUUGAAUACUUAUAGUGAUCAUAUCUCGUUCUAAACGAUGUCUUCGAAAUAUCUUAUGGUUUCACAUGAAUCUAAUGAUAACCCGACUGCAAAUCAAUCUUAUUGAAUGCGCAAGCACCAACAAAGUGAUCCAUUAAAUCGUCAAUUCUCGAAAGAGGAUACUUGUUCUUGAUAGUCACUUUAUUAAGUUGUUGAUAAUCAGCACGGAACCUCAUGCUACCAUCUUUCUUUUUGACAAGUAACAUCGGUGCUCCCAAGGGCGAAACACUCGAUCGAACAAACUUCUUCUCAAGCAACUUUUUCAAUUGCUUCUUCAGUUCACUCAACUCUGAAGCAUACAUUCUAUAAGGAUCCAUCAACACAUGACUAGUACCAGGUACUAAGUCUAUAGCAAACUCAGUCUCGUGCUCUGGCGACAAAUCACUAGUAUCAUCUGGAAACACUUUUGAAAAAUUACACACCACUGUUAAUUCGCCAAUCGCACAUUUUCUUUCAGACUUCAUAGAAGUUGAUAUCAUAAACACCUCAGCCUCAUCCUUCAUGCAUCCAUCUGCUUGCUUAGCAGACACGAACAACUUGUCACUUGCUUCAAAUUCUGGAAAUGAUACUGACUUUUCAAAAUAAUUGAUAUGAACUUGGUUGAAAUUUAACCAGUUCAUUCCAAGGAUAACGUCGAGUUGAUUCAACGGUAUAAAAACUAAGUUCAUCUCAAAACUCUUGCCAUAAAUAGUUAGCGGAUGAUUCAAACACACCCACGGAUUAGUCACUGAACUGUUAGACAGGGUAUCAAUAACCAUACUCCCAACCAUAAAAGACAACUUUAAAUCUAACCUCUCAGCACAAUCAAGUAAAAUAAAAGAAUGUGUUUCACCACUGUCAUAAUAGAAAUAAACAAAAUAUCAUUAAUAAAACACGUACCUCAAACUAAUAUGUCUGAGCUAGUAGUCUCUGACCUAGUCAAAGCAAAGACCUUUCCUCCGGACUGAACCUUCUUAGGUUUCUUGAAAUGACUACUAAUGUGACCUAGUUCCCCACAGUUGAAGCAAGUCUAACUAUUACUCUUACAAUCAACAAUAAGAUGUCUAGUCUUUCCACACUUGAAGCAUUUCUUCUCAAAACUCAUAUAGUCAUUGGCCCGAUGACCUGUUACCCCACACUUAAAGUACUUGAUUAAAGCGAGAGUCUCUCCCCCAUUUGGAAUUUUAUCAUCUAAAUCUUUAUGCUUCCCUUUAUCAGUUGUAUCAUUGUAUGGUUUUCCAUAAAACUGAUUAUUCCUUUUCUUCUUGUUAAGACUCUUGUAAUGAGUAGAACGAGCUCUACAAUCCUCAUCAUAUAUCUUGCAUUUAUUCACCGACAUAGGAAAAUGGAGAAUCUUUUGAUAGCCAAUAUCUUGCUUGAUCUCGGGACGCAAUUUUCUUUCGAACUUGAUACAUUUUGACCCCUCAGCAGCCAUACCAUUGUAGUAUGGACAAAACUUCACCAGCUCUUCGAACUUAGCAGCAUGCUUAGCAAUUGUCAUAUUUCCCUCCUUUAGCUCAAGGAACCCAAUCUCCUUCUUACUAUACACGUCCUCUAAAAAAUACUUCUCCAAAAAUUUAGCCCUGAGCACAGCCUAAGUAGUCUCAAUACAACAACCUCUAGUCUCUAACGUGCAUUAUCCCACCAGUCUUCGGCCUCUUCAGACAACUUGUGUGCACCGAACUUCACCUUCUGAACUUUAGUGCAAUCCAUCACUCGAAAAAUACCUCAAUCUCUCUGAGCCAUAUUUGUGCACCCUCUGGAUCAUAUCUUCCCUUGAAGGUCGGAAGAUUGUUUCUCUGAAUCUUCUAUAAUCCACGAAACUCAUCACCAACCUGAUUUUGGUGACCUUGCAGCGCCCGAGCCAUUGCUUUCGAAGCAUCAACAAUCGCUCGGUCGUUUCUUCCUCCUGCCAUAUUCUGAAUACCAGUAAACAGACAUUAGAAGAAAUAUUGCAUCGACAACGUUCACACACUCGUCACAUACUAAGGAACAUAUAUAACAUUACAAAAACCUGGUUGGAUGGAAUGACAUGCUUUGAUACCACUAAUUGUAACACCAUAAACCCCAAAACUUAUGUAAAAAUAAUUACUCGACAAUUUAAGGUUUCGCCAACGACAUCCCUUCAAAACUCAUCAAAAACAUGUGACAACACGCAACGAAAAAUAAUUUCAUAACAACUUCAUAAAUAAAGUAUUGAAAUUUAAAACACCAAAUUCAACAUUAAAUCAAAAAUAUAACAAACGCCUUGUUCCCGAUAUUACAAUAUCAGAGCACUAAAAACCACUAAUAUACGAUAAAGCGGUAAAUAAAACAAAGUAUAGCUCCAAAAAUACACCUUCCACACAUAACAACAACUUUAAUACUGAGUAUCUGCAAGAUGUCUACGGUGGAUAACAUUAAGCAAAAGGGUGAGAAACAAAUUCAAUAUGAAUGGUGUAAAGAAUGCGAAGGUAGAGAAAUACACAACUUAUCAUACAUCCAAUACAUAAUCAACAAAUCAUAAUCACACAUCCAUUCACAAUAAUAUGCACAUAUAUAUGUAAUGCGACUUACGAUACAAUGUGACACUUAUGCAUGUGGUACCAUCUCAACAUUUGGUUCUCUUUGGAAUCGGGUCCCUCCUUAUGAACCCAUGAGCCCCCAUUUUGAGCUUGGGACAAGCCACUAGUCCCCCCUUCUAAACUAGUUAAUAUGUAUCUUUCAACGACAUGGCACAAUGAUGCAUGUCCAUACAAAUCAAUGCAACAACAAUAAUAACACUUACGGCCUCUUCUAACCAUAAACAACAUGCAUUGACACACAAUAGUAAUCCCUUUUCUGAAUUACUAUCCAUCAAUAACACCAACAAUACAUAAUUAAUCACCAUAUAGUCAUGCAUUUUAUAACAAUAUGAAUCAUAUCCACAUCAUAUAACAACACAAAACAGCAUCAUACGCAUCUCAUACCAUUGCUACAUAUAAACAACAACAGGUAAGUAAGGAAAUUACCAAUGAACAACAAUAAUUCCACCAUAAUUAAUUAAAUUCAUGACAAUUAAUUAACUACUGACACCAAAAUGUUCAAAUAGUAGUCAUACAUCACCCAAACAACAAUAACACCUCAAAAGUCUGAACUGACAACUCAGACCAUGCAACAGGAACGACAAUGCCCCUUCUGACAACAUGACGGGUGAUCCGGCAUCCUGGUGACGCUCGUCACAUGCUUACAACUCCCAUGCCGUCAUCAUAGUGAAAAUCGUCUUGGAAAACCAAGCCUGGAGACCAUGACGAUCUCCCUGUCAUAGAGCUGACGCCCGUCAGCAUCUCAAGGUGCAUGAUGGGUAACUCGUCAUCUGGGUGACGCCCGUCACCCUGCACCAGAAGGAAAAAACACUAAUUCUUCCAUGAGAGUUACCUUGAACUUUGAUUUAUGAUCCCUAAUCAUUCCCACACGCCCAAAAAAUGAUAAUGCAUGUAAUAACAUCAUUAUAACAUACCAAAUCAUUGAAUUACACAAAUUAUUCAUGAACUUCAACACAUUCAUGUUUAUGUUCAAACCUUCAACAACCCCAACAAUGACAUACAAACAUAUACACAUAAACAUAAUCAUAUAUACACAAAUCAAAUCACGAAAUUUAGAUGAACACACCUUUAAUUAUCAAUUUCCAGAACCACAUAUAACAACAACAAUUCAUAAGCAUUUCACAUAAUUCCUAAAGAGAGUAAGAGUAUCUCUUCUCUAUCUUUUCAUGCAAUACAUGCAUAUAGAAGCCCCCUCCCCCCCUUUAUGUUAGGUUCCUUGCAAAAAUCUGAAUUGGUGAUGGUGUGUUCUUCCCUUUCCAAGCCCUAGUCUCAUUUGCUCUUCCAAACUCUAUUUAACGUACUGACAACCCUUAGGUCUCUAAUCCGUUUUUAUCUAAUUUAAUCUUUAGGUAAUUAUACUAAGACCCAAUUCUUUUUAAAAUUUUCACUAUUUCCCUUUUGUUCCUAUUUUCCACCCAUAAACUUAUAUUUCUAUUUAUUUUAAUUAAUUAAUAAAAACAAUUAUUCAUUCUAAUUAUUUAUAAUUAUUCUAAUUCUCCUAAUCCUUCUAUCACCCCAUCAAUGCUCUCACCACACCCUACCACAUAUACAUACCACUCAAUAUAUUUAAUUAAAAAUAUAUCACAUACUAAAUAAUUAAAUAAAAAUACGAAUAAUCUGACUAAAUCAAUUAAUCAAAUCUAGGGGUGUUACAUAGUUGAAGAAGAAGAAGAAGAUGAAAGUGAUACACAGUCUGAUUAUCUGUUGAACACCAACAGUGAAGAUGGUAAUCAUCAAGCGCCAUUACCUCCAAGUCACGUAUAUUGUCUACCACAAUAUAUGACAAACUUGAACUUGAAUGGUGAUGAGUCAUCCUCUAAUAUUUUUUACAAUCCAUAUAUGCGGUUAGAGGGUGAGUUAAAAGUGGGAGACAGGUUCCACACUAAAGAAGAGUGAAUGUGAGCUAUCAAAAAAUUUCACAUGGAGAACUCUGUUGAUUAUACCGUAGAUCACACUAAUGCAAGAAGAUAUGUCAUUCUUUGUCGUAAUGUGCUUUGCAUGUUUCGACUAGCACCGUCUUACAGGAAGAUAAUUGAUUCAUGGGAGAUAAGUUAUAUACAUUUAUCUCACAAUUGAACCGCCACUAUUAUUGCACAUGAUCACCAUAAAUUAAACUCUAAAAUAAUAUGUCAAGACAUUUUGUCUUUUGUUAGCAAGGAGCCAUCAAUGAAGGUAAGUAUACUAAUCUUUCAUAUUGUUACAUGAUAUAAUUAUAAUCCCUCAUACAAGAAAGUGUGGAUUGCAAGAAAAAAUGCUAUUGAACGAGUAUACGAAAAUUAGAAGGAUUCGUACAAAAAAAAAUCCACAAUAAUUGGUGACACUUAAGACAUAUACUCUGGGAACUGUUACAAUUUUGAAGACACGGUCGGCAUAUACGCCGUACAGAACUUGUGUCAGUGGAAAUAUAAUAUUUCAUCGAUUCUUUUUAGGCAUUUCAACCAUGCAUCAAAGAUUUUGCGUUUUGCAAACUUAUUCCUAAAAUUGAUGGAACAUGGUUGUACGGGAAAUACAAGGGCACAUUACUUAUGACAGGGGCACAAGACGACAACAAUAAUAUAUUUCCCAUUGCCUUCGCUCUGAUUGAAGGUGAGACUUUGAGUGGUUAGAGUUUCUUUCUCAAGAAUCUCAUAACAUAUGUUGCUCCACAAUCCAACCUCUGUUUGAUUUCAGACAGACAUGCAUCUAUUGAGAGUGUGUAUAAUAAUCCUGAGAAUGGAUGACAAAAUCCUCCUUCUAGCCAUGUCUACUGCAUUAGACAUAUUGCACAAAACUUCAUGCGAGAAAUCAGAGACAAGAACCUUUGGAAAAAAUGUUGUGAUUGUAGUGUACUCCCUCCGUCCCAUAUUAUAAGCAAAUUUCACCUUUCUAGAUUCAUUAAAUAAUUAAUGUAUCUGGUUUAUUAUAUAGAUCAGAUACAUUAAUUAUUUAAUGAAUCUAAAAAGGUGAAAUUUACAAAUUUCACCUUUCUAGAUUCAUUAAAUAAUUAAUGUAUCUGGUUUAUUAUAUAGAUCAGAUACAUUAAUUAUUUAAUGAAUCUAAAAAGGUGAAAUUUGCUUAUAAUAUGGGACGGAGGGAGUAUGCUUUAAUUCAGCCAUCAUUCCGACACUAUCGUAGGGAAAUUAGAUUGUCAAAUGCGGAUGCAUUAAUGUGUGUGGAUAACAUUCCAUUGGAGAAGUGGAUAAUGGAAUUUGACGAAGGACGCCGAUGGGGCCACAUGACAAUAAACCUUGUUCAGUCCAUGAACAACUUCUUCAAAGACAUUAGAAACCUAUCAAUAAUCGCGUUGGUGAGAGCAAUAUAUUUUAGGUUGGGAUCACUUUUUACAUCCAUAGGCAAAAAAUGGAGUUCGGUGUUACGGUUGAGACAAUUAUUCAGUAAAAGUUGCAUGAAAGUGAUGAAGGGGGAAACUAUCAAAGCUAGCACACAUGGGGUUACAAUCUUUGACCGUCGUAGACACAGUUUUAGUGUAAAAGAAAUAAUGGACCACAAUGAGGGGAGGCCGAAUGAAGACUAUCAGAUCGAACUAAAUAGAGGUUGGUGCGAUUGUGGCAAGUUUCAAGCCUUAUGUAUGUCUUGCUCCGAUGUCAUUGCGACAUAUUCAUAUGCUCGCCAUAACACUUCCAAGCAUGUAUCUGCCGUUUACAAAGUCGCAAAUGUAUUCAAUGUAUACAACAAUAACUUCCCGAUGAUAGUAAAAGGGGACUAUUUACCUACAUAUCAAGGGAACAUAAUUUGAUGCGAUAAAAAUAUGCGACAGAAGAAAAAAUAUCGCUCCAACAGCACAUAUAUUAAAACAAAAAUUGAUAUAACUAAUAAAAUGGUAAUAUUAAAAUAAAUUUGCAUGAUAAUUUUUUUUCUUUAAAUUUUUAUAACCUUAUUAUUUUAUAUAUAUAUAUAUAUAUAUAUAUAUUAAUUUUUGGUUACAACAAAAAUAACAUAAACACUCUAUCAAUAAUUAAGUUAAGAAAGCAUAAAAUUAAUUAAGCUUAAUCUUUAGUAUAUUUAAUAAUCCAAUAAAGAAAAUUUAAAAACACAUUGAAAUAUCAACACCGUUUGAUUUCCAUCAAACAAAAGCACUUGAAAUCUCAACUCCAUGAGACACACAAUUUCACAAAAUCUCAAAUCUCUUAUCCAACCCAAGUGAGAUAACAAAACACAAAGUAUCAUAAAUCACCACCAAUAACAACAAUCCAUCUCAGCAUCUUUACUUCUCUCACCUUAUCCAAAAUCCAUUUUCCCACCACCAAUUUCUCUCCACACAGAAUCUAAAAACCUUCUCUUCUUCUCUUUCCAAUAUCAUCACACAAAUCAAAUCCAUCACACACAAACACCAUUCUUUUUUCCUCACAAAAAAAUGUCUCUCACCAUUCCAACUAACCUCUCGAAACCCACCUCAACCCUAAGACCCAAACUCACCCAAAAACCAAAACUCUCCACCAUCAUCCACUGCAGCACAAACCAAACCCCAAACAAUCAAACCGACCAUGCAAACUCAAAUCUAAAAGCCUUCUCCGCUGCACUAGCCCUCUCCUCAAUCCUCAUCUCAUCCCCACUCCCGGCCGUCGCCGACAUCUCCGGCUUAACCCCAUGCAAAGAAUCAAAACAGUUCGCCAAACGCGAAAAACAGUCAAUCAAAAAACUCGAGUCCUCCCUCAAGAUUUACGCUCCCGACAGCGCUCCGGCGCUGGCGAUAAACGCGACCAUUGAGAAAACAAAGAGAAGGUUUGACAAUUAUGCGAAACAAGGUCUGCUGUGUGGCGCUGACGGGUUAC
rnacentral:lncRNA from 1 species